CACAAAAAUGACAUGGCUCAAGUUGCAGAAAAGAAAGGUCAGAUAGCCAACACACCCUAUGGAACUGAACCAAACUCUCAUUGGAUGCACUUCCAUCCUGCUGAAACAGUUAAGAGCUUUUCCUUGUCAAUAGUAUCAUUUCAUAUCACAUGCUUACAUCUCCACGGGAAAUAUAAGCCCUACUAGUGGUACUCUAUGAACCAGUAGCCAGGAUCCCACUAUUUUCCAACAUUGUGUUGAAUGCCGCACAGAAAAAAUCCCACGAAACAUGACCAACAUAGUUCUUUUAGUGAGAAACAGACACUUCAUGGUGAUUAUUGAUGCAGAAGCGGGCUUAUGGCUUACCAAGAGGUUUGAAAGUCAACAACUCUAAUAUCUAAAGUUUGUGAUAAAAAAAAUUACCUUGAAAGGAAUCAAUUUCAAAUGUUGAUUUUCCAGAUAAAUUAAACACAUAAAGUGCAUUCUAUGUCACACAGACGCGCCAAAACAGGUACCACAGACGCGUCGAUGCAAUGUGAUUACUGCUACACAAGGAUAUCUGCCCUCUGUCCAAGUAGGGUGCAGCUGAGUCGCUGACAACACCCAAUAGAUUCUGUCCAUAGCAACUAUACUGCCACUUCAAAGAAAGGGAAAAAAGAAUUGCUUCAACUUCAUCACUGGUGUCUUAAUCGUCUCUCUGCUUCCGGCGACCAGCGAUGUGAGCAGCAAUGGCACAAUGUGGGCACUGAUGGUAAUGCACAACUGAGGAUAGGAGCAGCAAUCACAGCCCCAACAUUCUGAAACCCUCCGCCACAGUCCUCCCUAAAAUAAAUGUUUUCCCCUCUUUCUCUCACAAUUCCGUAAGGGGGCGUUUGAUGAACAGGAAAUACACUGUUCAUCGAGAAAUAAAAUUCAAAAAUUUAAAUUUUUUCCACUUAAUCAAACGGAGAAAUAUUUAUUCGACCGUUGAGCUUGAUUCCCGAAAAUUUUUUCCGGAAAAAAUUUUCCACCUGAAGAGACGGAAAAUUUUUUCCGGAAAUAAAUUUUUGACCGUUGAACGCGAGCGCUCCCUUUUCGCGUCUUCCUUCCUGUGCCGCAGCCCCUCUUCUUUCUCGUCGUCCCACAGCCGCGUCGUCUCACAGCCGCUCCCUCCACUCCACCCGAGUAGUGCAGCCGCGAGCCUCCCGUUCCUCUCUUUCUCGCAUGGUAGUGUCUCUCUCUCUCUCUCAUUCUCUCUCUUGUUCCCCUCUCCCUCUCACUCUCACUUCUGUCGCCCUUUUCUACUGCGUGUGAAUGACAUGGACACAUAGCGCGGCAGUCAGAGGCAGCAGCAAACGGGAGGGGAACUCUGUCUCGGGUGCCCCUUUCUCCCUCUCCGGCAAAUGCAGGCUGCGCUCUCACUCUCUGGCCAGCCCAGAUUUCUAAUGAAUGACCAAAUUAGCUGCUGUUUCAUUUCUGUUUUUCAUAUGACCAGUGAUGUUUCCAUUUGGUUCUUAGAUCGGUUUGAUGUUCAGUGGAUGAACCUUGAGGGUCGUCAGAUUUUGGUAUGGAGAAGAAAAAGGGGGUUGCUUUCUAAUGCUUUAAAACAAAGAAGUUGCUUUCUUAACCAUUGUUCUCACUCAAUCUGAGGAUCUUUUUCAAACUAAACAAAGAAAGGAUAGUUGUACUUUGUUUUAGUGCAGAGAUUAUACCUUUUGUUUUAUUUCCCCCUUUUUGCUUCAACCAAAGUUUUGGAUGUCCAGGCAAUUACAGUGAACGGUGGGUUACAGGAAACUGAUGUCAUGUUUAUUCACAAGCAUGGACGAAGAACUGUCUCAUCUCUUAACAUUAUCUGCUCUACAGCAGUAAAAGGACUAGCCUACAAGUCUGGCACUGUAUGCUUAUUUUGUAGAAUUGUAGAAGCUGGAUUUAGGGUCAUUGCAUAAAAAAUCCGAUGUUCAGUCAUCCAGGACUAGCCUACUCUUAAUUUUGUGCUUCAUUUCUGUUUAAAUACAUAAUUUGGUCCGUUUUACUAUCAUUUGUUGAUCAUUAUUUGAGGAUCCAGUCAUGUUCAAGCUGAGUAUAAUGUUUUUUAGGUUUAGUGGCAUUUCGUGCCUGCCACAUGCCACAUAGGCUAGGUCUAAUGUUAGAUUGAGCAAUCUGGGUCGGCUUGAAGGCAGAGGAUCUCAGAGUGCUACAACACUGGGCUACCGGAUCUGCACUCCAUUCAGGGGCAUAUUCAGUGAUUUCUUUUCUGAUGGAGGCCUUGCCAACUAAUGUCAGAUCAGAGAUGCACCUUCUCUUGAGGUUUUAGUUUGAUGAGUACUUAUGGAACUUCACCAAGCCAUUUGCUCAGGAAGGGCACAGAGCCCAUUUUCUGCAAGGCGACAAAUGCAUUCCUGAAAUAAGAGCUCUAUUUCCUUCUGACUACAACCCAUUUUAUGCUGGAUUUGGGAACAGAGACACUGAUGAGCUCAGCUACAGGAAGAUUGGUAUACCAAAAGGAAAAAUAUUUAUUAUAAAUCCCAAGGGUGAAGUGGCCAUUGAUAAUUGCGUUGAUUCAAGGUCAUAUUGUUCUUUGCAUACGCUAGUGAAUGAUAUGUUCCCCCCAACGUCUCCGGAGCAGGUUUGUUUCUCUCCACUUUUCCUUUUCUUUGCCCUGUUUUGGGUUAUGUGCUUGCUUUCUGGCUGCCUAUAAACAGUGGAAUUGAUGGUCAGAUUAGUGUUGAUAAAGUUGUUAAUGAUAAUGAUUGGUUGUUGGAUUAGUGUUGAUAAAAUUUUUAGGCUUGUUGCUGUGAAUCGAUUUUGCAACUUGUCUUAGCGGAAAUAGCUUUCAUGGGUAAUGUUGAAUGAUCUUAUGCAUUAUAUCAUGUUGAACUUGGUUUUUCUUGUAUAUUUCUUAAUCAGCGUGCUCUAUAUAUUUCUUAGCGGAAACAGCUUUCAUGUAUAUUUCUUAAUCAGCGUGCUUGUAUAGUUUUUCUUGUUAGAUCAUGUUGAACUUGGUUCCUCUUCCUUGUGUACGUGGUUUCAUGUUCCUCUCUUCUAAAUCUAAAAAAAUAUUUCCUUAUUAUCAAACCAAGAAUUAAUUUUAUGAAAAUCUAGAAAUAUAUUUCUUUUUCAUCAAACAUAGAAAUAUAUUUCUGGAAACAUAUUUCCAAAUCAUCACACACACACCAAAAUUGGAAUCGGAAAACUUUUUCCCAUUCCAUUUUUCCAUUUCCUAUAUUUCCGGAAAUAUAUUUCCAGAAAUAUAUUUACAGGCCAUCAAACGGCCCCUAAAAGAAAGAUGAGGACACACUCUCUCUGUCUUUCCAUAAAAGACAACCUCCACCAUCAUCCGCUUAAAAGGACUACAUAGGUUGUCCUUCAUGAACAUCAUAAAGGAUAGAUGACACAGACAGUGUCAUCCUUCUAAAAGGAUGACACACUCAUUUCAACUUUUUUAAAAAGGGCUAAUACCCUUUAAGAUCAUGGACUAAAAUGGCCUUCAUAUAAAACUUUUUUUACAAUAGUGGAAGUCAAAGAAGAAAGUUGCACAAACAAAUCUUAUCUCUUUAACAGAUUAUAUACAUUACAUAUAUGUGUCUGUGUAUGUGUGUGUGUAGUCCUUGAAUCCUGAUUCUAACUUUUAAUUGUACAUACCAAUGUUAUCACUGGCGUAUCGUAUCGCGUAUCGGUCGGGCCGACCUAUACGCCGUAUCGUAACGUAUCGUAAAAUUAAUUUUUAAUUUGUAAAAAAUAUUAAAAAAUUAUAAAAAAAUAGAAAAAAAUCAGAAAAAUUUUAAAUAAAUUCGAAAAAACAAGAAAAAAUCAAGAAAAAUGUAUUUAAAGGAACAUUUAUCAUUCAUGUAUAUGAAGUAUGAACUAUGAAGUAUGAAUAUGAACAACACAUUCCAAAAUAAGAAAUCAGACAUUCAAAAAUCAAAAUAACAUACUAAGCAGCCGAAGAGUAUUCGAUUACAUCACAAUUCAUAAGUUCAGAAGUCAAAACAUAUAGACAUAGUUAUCAUCUUUCAUGAUCCAAAAAGCCCUCUUUCUCCAAGCUUUCCACUGUGCCCUCUACGAGAAAGAAAGCUAUCUCACGGGCAAAACUUAAAGCAAAUGAGGAAAAUCUCUUCCUCCCACGUCUCUUGCAAUGUUUAGAAACAAGAAGAGAGAGAGAGAGGAGCAUAUCUUUUGAAAUAAAAUGAAAAAAAGGGGCCAUCGGACCCUUUUGCCAUUUUUCCCCCGUAUCGUACGAUACGGGGGUGUAUCGACCGUAUCGUACGAUACGGGCGAUACGUCUACGAUACACCUCCGUAUCGUGUAUUGUAGGCGUGUCGUAUCGUUUUUGUUGAUACAGACGAUACGUAUCGUACGAUACGCGUCCGUAUCGUACAAUACGCGUCCGUAUCGUACGAUACGGAUAACAUUGGUACAUACAGCUAUGUUGUUAAGGCCUCGCCUAAGCCUCGCCUAGGCUUGGACUAAGCGUGAGUCCACACCCGUCGCCUAAGUCCACCACUUAGGCGACGGGUAUAUGUUGACUUAGGCGACGGGGUAUAUGUUGUUAGGAAAUAAGAUAUCUUGUUGAUAUCAUAGCUAGAUUAGGUUUUACAUUUUUUACAUUUUAUUUUCAUUUUUAUGUAUUUUAUUAUUUCUUUUAUUUUUCUUUUCUUUUCUUUUAUUUUCCUUUUCUUUUUCUUUUCUUUUCUUUUCUUUUUCUUUUCUUUUAUUUUUCCUUUUCUUUUUCUUUUUGUUUCCCCUUUGUUCUAGCCGUUGGGAGUUCCAACGGCUCCUUUAUGAGCCGUUGGAACCUCCAACGGCUAGAACAACCCUCUCUUCCUUCUCUCCUUCACUCUAAUUGGUUAUAUAUAUUCUUGGGCUGCCUCUUGUACAAAGUAUGCUGUUUUACACAGCCAUUUGACAUUCAUUCAAUAAGAUUGAUAUAUUUCAAGUGGCCUUAGUGCCUUUUUCUAUCAUAUUCUUCUUUAGUGACUAUUAUAGUCACAUUUAUAUAUGUUGGCGCCUAGGCUGGCUUAGGCUCCAACACGGCUAGUCCAUGGGAAAAUGAAAAGUCACAUUCCCUUUCAAUUAAAGUUUCUCAAUUGAGUAUAUAUCGCUAUGUACUUUAUGUCGUAUUGAUUACGUAUUCUUAUGUAUUGUUACGUUGAUUAUGUUGUUAUAUGUAUAUAGUAUUAGUCACUUGGUCUGUUAUACAUUCGGAUGGUUAUGUCUCUCUUUAGUACAAAUGGAUUACAGUCUUCUUGUGGAUUUACAUUCCUUCUACUAGAGAUUAGAUCUAGUUUUUUUUUUCUUGUAUUAGAUUACAUUUAAUGAGUAAUGUUAAACUUCGUCUACUGAUUUUGCAUAUUCAAUGAAGAAAAGUUGAAAACAAUUAAAUUUUGAUUGUUUAAGUUGAUUAUGCUUGUUAUAUUAGUACUCUCCAUAUUUCAAAUAUUAAUAAUGGUUAAUCAAAAUAACUUGACAUAUUAACAGAACUAAAAAAAUAAAAUAAAAUAAUGGUCAUCUUUCUUGCCUAUCUUUCUUGCCUAGGCCUGCAUAGGCGCUAGGCGCCGUGACAACAUAGACAUCCAGGGACAUCGAAUGUGGGCCGUCCAAUCUAAAAUCGGACAGCCCACUCUCUCUCUCUCUCUCUCUCUCUCUCUCUCUCUCUCUCUCUCUCCCCCCUCUGGGCAACACUGGGGGAAGCCAGCCAACCGCACCAGCACCGCCGUCAAGCGACAGGCGAGAUGAAUCCCCCCUUUUUUGUCCCUCACGAUGGACGAAAGGGGGAGGAGGAACCCUCCCCCUCCCCACUUCCUCCACUGUUGUGCACGAUGGGGAAAAAAAAAGGAAAAUUCAAAAAAAUAUUUCUAACAAGCCGUCCAUCAAUUUUGAUGGAUGGCCUAGGUUUGAUGUUCCCAAAUGUCAUGGGGAAGCUGGCAUCACGGUUCAGUUUUCCUAUAUAUAUAUAUAUAUAUAUAUAUAGAGAGAGAGAGAGAGAGACACACACACACACACAAACACACACCCCUCGCCACACCCCCACCUAAAAUUUUUGAAAAUUAUCAGACCUGGACUCGCAGCCACACGCCACAACUGUGUAACAUAGAGUGCAUCUAUAAACCUCACAAACAAUUACUUUCAAUAGAUGACAUCGGUCAGUAGCACAUAUUUCUCCAUAUUCUUGUAACCAUGACUGCAUGCUGAAGGUAGACCACAAUCUGGUACGAUGAAAUUGAGCUUGGAAUGUCAUUCUUAGUAAUCCACAGGAUCUGUCUCAUAUUUAGACCUACAUCCAGCAUUAGGAAGGCUGACCAGAUCACCUACAGUUUCAUGUAACCUGAAUGGGGCAAAUAGAAUACUGUGCACAAGUCUACUCAAGUAUGAGUUCACCAAUCAGUGCAGCUAUUUGUAUUGCUUGAUAAUAUACUUCACAUUCUAAUUCGAUUACCACACACUUCAAUAAAUGCUAAUGUAUAGGCAUCUUUUAGAUUUAUAUAAGCUUCUACCUACUUAUACAUUCAUAAAACACAUGAUUGUUGAAACCACAGCUGUAAUCAUGUGAUAUAGAUUUUAAUGAGAAAAAAAAACAAUAAAAAACGAGAGUGAGCUUAUCGUUGGAUUCUGCAUAGUUCAGUGA